CAUAAAUGUCAUGUUGGAUUUUAGUUUCCUUGCCCAUAUGCAGGUGCGCACAGAAGAACAGACUUUACUGUUAUGAGGGUUUGUUUUUAAUCAGUCAAACGAUUGUUCAAGAAUCGAGACUAGAGGACGUCAGAAGGAAACGAGAGUCCAGGUAGGUUUGGGGGUCCGGGACAGCAGCGGAUCGGAACGGCUUGGAGGUGCCAACCAACGAGACGCGCCCGACCAGCGAAGUUCCAGGCUUGGCUCCGGGAAACGUGAUCAAGGUCUGAGAGGUAACAGAGAGAAAAGGACAAAAUGACUGGACAAUACUUAACAUGGACCAUGAGAGAUCUUAGGGCUGAGUCUGGCCAACAAGUGGUAACCAUCGAGUAAUGACUGGUGGUUCCACCGCUUCUUAAGAAGCCUGCCGCUGGUUACCGGAAUCCGUUGCAGGUGCGUCAGGCUGUCAAACUCCUCCACGUAGCUCGUCUCUGGAAAGAACCCUCGCUCCAACCUGAAUCCUGACAACCAUAGUGCCCAU